rnacentral:rRNA from 1 species
UACAGAGGGUGCAAGCGUUGUUCGGAAUUAUUGGGCGUAAAGAGCGUGUAGGCGGUCCGGUAAGUCCGCUGUGAAAGUCGGGGGCUCAACCCUCGGAUGCCGGUGGAUACUGUCGGGCUUGAGUACGGAAGAGGCGAGUGGAAUUCCUGGUGUAGCGGUGAAAUGUGCAGAUAUCAGGAGGAACACCAAUUGCGAAGGCAGCUCGCUGGGACGUUACUGACGCUGAGACGCGAAAGCGUGGGGAGCAAACAGG